UGCGGGGUCGUCUAGCGGCAGGACGCCUGACUCUGAAUCAGGUAACGGUGGUUCGAAUCCACCCCCCGCAG
rnacentral:tRNA from 1 species